rnacentral:rRNA from 1 species
AAUGAACGCUGGCGGCAGGCCUAACACAUGCAAGUCGGACGGUAGCACAGAGGAGCUUGCCCCUCGGGUGACGAGUGGCGGACGGGUGAGGAAUGUCUGGGGAUCUGCCCGAUAGAGGGGGAUAACCACUGGAAACGGUGGCUAAUACCGCAGAACGUCGCAAGACCAAAGAGGGGGACCUUGGGGCCUCUCACUCACGGAAUAAUCGAGAUGGGAUUAGCUAGUAGGCGGGGUAAUGGCCCACAUAGGAGACGAUCACUAGCUGGCCUGAGAGGAGGACCAGCAACACUGGAACGGGGACACGGUCCAGACUCCUACGGGAGGAAGCAGUGGGGAAUAUUGCACAAUGGGCGCAAGCCUGAAGCAGCCAUGCCGCGUGUAUGAAGAAGGCCUUCGGGUUGUAAAGUACUUUCAGCGGGGAGGAAGGCGGUGAGGUUAAUAACCUUGCCGUUUGACGUUACCCGCAGAAGCAGCAACGGCUAACUCCGUGCCAGCAGCCGCCGUAA